rnacentral:rRNA from 1 species
UACGGAGGAUCCAAGCGUUAUCCGGAAUCAUUGGGUUUAAAGGGUCCGUAGGCGGUUUGGUAAGUCAGUGGUGAAAGCCCUUCGCUCAACGGAGGAACGGCCAUUGAUACUGCCAGACUUGAAUUACUGGGAAGUAACUAGAAUAUGUAGUGUAGCGGUGAAAUGCUUAGAUAUUACAUGGAAUACCAAUUGCGAAGGCAGGUUACUACCAGUGGAUUGACGCUGAUGGACGAAAGCGUGGGGAGCCGAACGAG